rnacentral:rRNA from 1 species
UACGUAGGGUGCAAGCGUUAAUCGGAAUUACUGGGCGUAAAGCGUGCGCAGGCGGUUAUGCAAGACAGAUGUGAAAUCCCCGGGCUCAACCUGGGAACUGCAUUUGUGACUGCAUGGCUAGAGUACGGUAGAGGGGGAUGGAAUUCCGCGUGUAGCAGUGAAAUGCGUAGAUAUGCGGAGGAACACCGAUGGCGAAGGCAAUCCCCUGGACUUGUACUGACGCUCAUGCACGAAAGCGUGGGGAGCAAACAGG